AAGUCGUAACAAGGUUUCCGUAGGUGAACCUGCGGAAGGAUCAUUAAUGGAAUAAACCUGGUGGACUGUCGCUGGCUCUCUUGAGAGCAUGUGCACGUCUGUCAUCUUUAUCUUUCCACCUGUGCACCUUUUGUAGACCUGGAUGCUUAAUAUAUCAAUCUGAGGUCAACUCAGGCGUGAGGACUGUCGGCGUCGCAAGAUAUCGGCUUUCCUUGUAGCAUUCCAGGGACUAUGUUUUUCAUACACACUUUAAAAAUCUAAUAGAAUGUCGUUUUAAAAAAGGUCUUUGUACCUAUAUAAAACAAAUAUACAACUUUCAGCAACGGAUCUCUUGGCUCUC
rnacentral:misc_RNA from 1 species